rnacentral:rRNA from 1 species
GAUGAACGCUGGCGGCGUGCCUAAUACAUGCAAGUCGAGCGAACAGAUGAGGAGCUUGCUCCUCUGACGUUAGCGGCGGACGGGUGAGUAACACGUGGAUAACCUACCUAUAAGACUGGGAUAACUUCGGGAAACCGGAGCUAAUACCGGAUAAUAUAUUGAACCGCAUGGUUCAAUAGUGAAAGACGGUUUUGCUGUCACUUAUAGAUGGAUCCGCGCCGCAUUAGCUAGUUGGUAAGGUAACGGCUUACCAAGGCAACGAUGCGUAGCCGACCUGAGAGAGGAGUAGGCAAAAGUGGAACGAGGAAAGGGUCCGGACUCCAACGGAAGGCAGCAGGAGGGAAUCUGCCGAAAGGGGCGAAAGCCUGACGAAGCAACGCGGCGGGGGUGAGGAAGGUCUUCGGUUCGUAAAACUCUGUGAUUAGGAAAGAAAAAAUGUGGAAGUAACUAUGCACGUCUUGACGGUACCUAAUCAUAAAGCCACGGCUAACUACGU